AAUCGAUGGCGCUCUUCCAGCAGUCGAACGGCAGCACGGGAGCAAUCCUGGUGGCGAGUGGCGAACGGGUGAGUAAUACAUCGGAACGUGUCCUGUAGUGGGGGAUAGCCCGGCGAAAGCCGGAUUAAUACCGCAUACGAUCUGUGGAUGAAAGCGGGGGAUCUUAGGACCUCGCGCUACAGGGGCGGCCGAUGGCAGAUUAGCUAGUUGGUGGGGUAAAGGCCUACCAAGGCGACGAUCUGUAGCUGGUCUGAGAGGACGACCAGCCACACUGGGACUGAGACACGGCCCAGACUCCUACGGGAGGCAGCAGUGGGGAAUUUUGGACAAUGGGCGCAAGCCUGAUCCAGCAAUGCCGCGUGUGUGAAGAAGGCCUUCGGGUUGUAAAGCACUUUUGUCCGGAAAGAAAACCUCUGGGUUAAUACCCUGGGGGGAUGACGGUACCGGAAGAAUAAGCACCGGCUAACUACGUGCCAGCAGCCGCGGUAAUACGUAGGGUGCAAGCGUUAAUCGGAAUUACUGGGCGUAAAGCGUGCGCAGGCGGUUCGCUAAGACAGAUGUGAAAUCCCCGGGCUUAACCUGGGAACUGCAUUUGUGACUGGUGGGCUAGAGUAUGGCAGAGGGGGGUAGAAUUCCACGUGUAGCAGUGAAAUGCGUAGAGAUGUGGAGGAAUACCGAUGGCGAAGGCAGCCCCCUGGGCCAAUACUGACGCUCAUGCACGAAAGCGUGGGGAGCAAACAGGAUUAGAUACCCUGGUAGUCCACGCCCUAAACGAUGUCAACUAGUUGUCGGGUCUUCAUUGACUUGGUAACGUAGCUAACGCGUGAAGUUGACCGCCUGGGGAGUACGGUCGCAAGAUUAAAACUCAAAGGAAUUGACGGGGACCCGCACAAGCGGUGGAUGAUGUGGAUUAAUUCGAUGCAACGCGAAAAACCUUACCUACCCUUGACAUGUAUGGAACCUGGCUGAAAAGGCCGGGGUGCCCGAAAGGGAGCCAUAACCCAGGGGCUGCAUGGCUGUCCUCAACUCCGGGCC
rnacentral:rRNA from 1 species